rnacentral:rRNA from 1 species
GACGAACGCUGGCGGCGUGCCUAAUACAUGCCAGUCGAACGCAUUUUCUUUCACCGUAGCUUGCUACACCGAAAGAAAAUGAGUGGCGAACGGGUGAGUAACACGUGGGUAACCUGCCCAUCAGCGGGGGAUAACACUUGGAAACAGGUGCUAAUACCGCAUAAUUCCAUUUACCGCAUGGUAGAUGGAUGAAAGGCGCUUUUGCGUCACUGAUGGAUGGACCCGCGGUGCAUUAGCUAGUUGGUGGGGUAACGGCCUACCAAGGCUGCGAUGCAUAGCCGACCUGAGAGGGUGAUCGGCCACACUGGGACUGAGACACGGCCCAGACUCCUACGGGAGGCAGCAGUAGGGAAUCUUCGGCAAUGGACGCAAGUCUGACCGAGCAACGCCGCGUGAGUGAAGAAGGUUUUCGGAUCGUAAAACUCUGUUGUUAGAGAAGAACAAGGAUGAGAGUGGAAAGUUCAUCCCUUGACGGUAUCUAACCAGAAAGCCACGGCUAACUACGU